CAUCACAGUCUGAGUUCUU
rnacentral:miRNA from 3 species